GGGCAUGGGGCUGGGGCGGCCGCGGGAUGCGGCGCUGAGGCAGCGGCGGAGGAGGAGGAGGAGGAGGCGGCUCGGUGGUGGCAGCGGCUCCGCGCUGGAGGCUCCGCGGCGCUGCCUCCCGCAGCCCCAUGAUGUGCCUGGAAAGCGACGGCUCCUCCGGCAGCAGCCCGGCUUGCGGCGGGCGGCUCCGAGCCGGUGACGAGGAAGAGGAGGAGGAGGAGGAGGAGGAGGAGGAGGAAGAAGAGGAGGGCGAGCGCGGCUGCUGCGGCCGGGGAGCGGAGGGCGAGGUGCAGACGCUGUCGGGCAGCAUGAACCCGCCGCCCGAGCGCCCCGCAGCCCGCCGCAAGGCGCCGAGCCUCGGCCGGGCACGCGUGGCCGCCGCCGGCAUCCUCAGCGUGGGCAACGUGCUCAACUACCUGGACCGGUACACGGUGGCAGGUGUGUUACUAGACAUCCAGCAGCACUUUGGAGUCAAAGACAGUGGGGCUGGCUUGCUACAAACAGUUUUCAUCUGCAGUUUCAUGGUUGCGGCGCCCAUCUUUGGUUACCUUGGGGACCGUUUCAACAGAAAGAUCAUCCUCAGCUGUGGGAUCUUCUUCUGGUCAGCUGUCACUUUUUCCAGCUCCUUCAUCACUGAACAGUAUUUCUGGCUUCUUGUGCUCUCACGAGGUUUGGUUGGCAUCGGUGAAGCAAGUUACUCCACUAUUGCUCCAACCAUCAUCGGAGACCUUUUCACCAAAAACACAAGGACCCUUAUGCUGUCUGUUUUCUACUUUGCAAUUCCUCUUGGCAGUGGCUUGGGAUACAUCACUGGAUCAAGUGUGAAGCAAGUUGCUGGAGACUGGCACUGGGCAUUGCGGGUAUCUCCACUCCUAGGAAUGAUAACAGGGACACUCAUCUUGAUAUUUGUACCCGCUGCUAAAAGAGGAAAUGUUGAACAACUUGGGGGACAGCUGAAGGCUCGGACCUCAUGGCUAAGAGACAUGAAGGCACUGAUAAGAAACCGCAGCUAUGUGUUCUCCUCACUGGCCACCUCAGCUGUCUCUUUUGCCACUGGGGCGCUCGGCAUGUGGAUCCCUCUCUACCUUUACAGAGCACAAGUUGUGCAGAAGACUGCAGAGACUUGCAACGCGCAGCCCUGUGGCACCAAAGAUAGCUUGAUCUUUGGAGCAAUCACAUGCUUCACCGGUUUCCUGGGUGUUAUCACAGGAGCUGGGGCAACCAAAUGGUGCCGCUUAAAAACCCAGCGAGCUGAUCCUCUUGUCUGUGCUGUUGGCAUGCUGGGGUCAGCCAUCUUCAUCUGUCUGAUCUUCGUUGCUGCCAAGAGCAGCAUUGUGGGAGCCUAUAUUUGCAUUUUUAUUGGAGAAACUCUUCUGUUUUCAAACUGGGCUAUCACAGCAGACAUACUAAUGUAUGUGGUCAUCCCAACGCGCCGUGCAACCGCAGUGGCCUUGCAGAGCUUCACUUCGCACCUCCUGGGAGAUGCUGGCAGUCCUUAUCUGAUUGGAUUUAUCUCAGACCUGAUACGACAAAGCACAAAAGAGUCCCCGCUCUGGGAGUUCCUCAGCUUGGGGUAUGCACUCAUGCUCUGCCCGUUUGUCGUUGUCCUAGGAGGGAUGUUUUUCCUGGCCACAGCCCUCUUCUUCCUAAGUGACCGAGCCAAAGCCGAACAACAUAAAGAAACCGAUUCGGACCACCUCACGGUUGGCAACUACAGUAAUUCAGAAGACGCUUCCACAUGACAUACACACUCCUGGGGGUGAAUCACCUCGUGAUGCCACCAGCCUCCGUCAAAGUCUGAGACGUUGCCAGUGAAGGAAACCACAUGUGGACUCCUGCUUCCACCACCACAAUCUCCAGCUCGAAGCCCUUCCAUACUGGAACUGGCGGCUCCUUCAGUUCCACGCCGCCCUGGGAGGGUUCUCCAGCACCAAACCCAUCGCAGCGCUCCACCUGCGGGGCCGGGCAGCAGGAGAUGAGCAGGGCAGCCUGGAACAGACGCUGCUGGAGCGUAAGGACAUUCCCAGGUUCCUCUGAGCAUCGCAAGCAACUCUCCACCGGCCCCACAACCCAAGUGAGUGACUGUAGAUUGUGUACAUGGUUUUAGUUGUAGCCGAUGAAGUCCACAUCGUUUAUAGGACAAGCUCCGUCCUAGCGAAUGCUGCUGUUCUGCCAGCACUCCCGCACCCAGAGACUGCACUAGUUUGGGGACCUGUUCUGUACAUCACCUUUUCUUUAACACUGAAGGCUCAAUUCAGAUUAUUAUUUUUUAUUUAAAUACGUCGUAAGAUGCUUUAUCUCUGCUGAAGACAUAUAUAUAAAUAUAUAUAUUUAGAUAAACAGUUUUUAUUUAAACGUUUGAGAUCUGGAGCUGCCUGUGCAACCCUACCAGCCAUGAAUACGUCCACAACUCUCCUCAUCUCAGUGCCCUGCUGUCAGGCCCUGGGAGGGCACCACAGGAAGAGUCCCAGGGGCUGGAUGACUGCCUGUCACCCGAGGCUGAGCAAUGGGACAGAGGAGAGCGUUUCACUGCACUGGGUAUGCUGGCGGUUGUUACAGAAAGGCCCAGAACUUUUGACAGAAAUACCUAGGGGCUCCAGAUUUUGCUCAAUAUACUAAAUUCAGCCUUGCCGAGGAGAUUCACAGGUUUUUAAAAUACCAAAAUCCAGCUGGCUGAAUUGCUUUACCUAGGGCCUGGUAGUGCAAUACUGCUGUGCCAGUGACAUCACGCUUUGUUUACACGCAUAUCACGGGAUGUGCAUUGUCCGUGCUAAUUCUCCCUUGUCAGUAUUUUCAAAGCAGGUGGCUGAUACUCUACAGUAGCUGUUCCCUUUGGAACGAUGGUUAGGUAAAUGCAUGUCCAUCCCCAAGCACACUCCCAGCCUGCUCUUACUGGGGUGUCAGUUAAUCAUUUAUCUUUAUAAAGAUGUACUUGAGAUCUUUAAUAUACAAGGCCAGUGUCUGAACAAAUGCAGAAGAGUGUGUCUGUAAAACAGUCAGUGCCAUUCCCCAAGAGUCUUAUGUCCUGCACAAGCCAAAUUUAUGCUAUGUCAGCUUGAUGCUGCAAGAGUGUGGGGAAGGAGGGAGAGCACAGACCCUGGAGAAAAAGUCAGGCUUCCAGAGAAAGGGCAUUCUUCCAUGAGCUCCCCACUCCCUUGCAAUGUUCAGAUGUUUGCCAUAGUUUAGACUCUCUCCAGUUUAGUGCACACCUUGAGAAGGUGACUGCACCUCGCUCUUGUGCUCAUGUUUCAUAAGUAGCUGUGGCUGGGCUGCAAGUAAGACUAAAUCAGCAAAGGAAAUGCAACGCUGGGACUGGAACCAAUUUAAGUCUGGAAGUUGGCUGUCCUGAUUCUGGUGUACAUUUGUUCAGGGAAGGUGCUGUUAGUAAAGGUGGGUUUUACCUCUCAUUCACUUGCUGGAUGUACUGUGAGCUACAGUACACCGCUAUUGUAAAGACAGUCAGUAACUCCAGUUACCAGCAAACUGGUCAGCACUCACUGCGUAGCCAGUCUCUGCCCAGGCAGAUGUGUUUUGAGGGUGACUCCUAUAACAACGUGAGCAUUUCCUCCUCCCGAGCCUCCACAGGACUAUUCUGCAGAGGCUAGCCUGUCACCUCAAAUACUUUUACAACGGCUCUAAGAUUUGGUUAAGCAACUAGUGCCACAAAUUUUCCUCGAGUGCUUGGGCAUCCUCUGGAAAACAGCAAGUGGGUGCUAGAAAUAAUAAAGCAAAACAAAUCCAAAACAAUGCUUCAUUUCCCACCUCGUGCCACUAUUUACGUUUGUAGGGGAAAUACCAGUGCUGUAGUCUAGGAGCCAAAUUUUUGGCUUUAAAGGCACAUGAAUUUCUGAUUCCCAUUAAGAAAUUCCUUGUUAAGCUGGCUAAAAAGAAACAAAAAGCAACCAAACAAUUAGUCAUUUCAUCUCAGAGACCAAAGAAGAUUUGCUGUAUUUCCCAAAUUGCUUUUCUGAUAGGCUCUCUCUGCUGUAGCAUUUACUGUCAACAAAAUGAAGCAUUAAUGCAAAAGUUCAGAAGUUAGAAAUUAUCCUUAAAUGUAAUUCUCAGGCGUCAAUAAUGAAAAGGGAACUUAACUGUGUUGUAGUUUCACCAGCUCUCCUUGUUUGUGACAAACCCCAGUCCUUGUUGGAGAAGCUCUGCACUGUUACAGGAGGCCAGCUUUAUCUUCUGUGAAUAUGAAGGAAAUUGCUGUGGCUUUCUUUUUAACAAGGAUAAGGGGAUGGGAGUAAACAAGGGAGUGAGAAGUGAGUCCUACCUGCAGCAGUUCCAUGCCAAGGGACCCCUGAAUCCCUGCUCCCACCUGUUCCAGGCUAAGAGAGGGGAGCCAAAGCAGCAGCAAUGACAGCUCAGGAGAGAUGAACAGGAGAAGGGACAGAAAAUCUGGCUGCUGCCCCUCUACAUAUUCAUGGCUCCGUAUUCAAAUGGCUAGAAGCUGAAAGGUUGGAUUUCUUGUUGAGUGUGUCUUGUUUUAGCUGUGUGUUUGUAUUCCAAACUGGAAGAAUUACUCAGUGAGAGCUUCUAUAACGUUACUCUGUCUGUUAGAGGGAAACCAGCUCACUUGGAUCAAGGGUCUGCAGACCCUUGGGGAAAGUCACUACCUGGGCCUCAGUUCCUGUACGUGCAGAGCUGAGACACUUGCUGCUGAAAUGAAGUGCUGUUGUGUUUCUGUACUAUAGUGGAGGUCAGAAGCUCCCCAUUAUUAAAAUACAGCUGACCAUAUCAUAUCGUACUGGUGCUGAAUUCUGGACUUUAGCAUGCAGGAUUGUGCUGGUUUCCAUUAUAGCUCUGUGUGCAACAAUUUUAGGUAGGUAUAGAUGUAGUCAGGCCCAGAAGCUGUUAGGACCAUUUGGCUGUUGACCUCAUAAAGCAGUGUACAAGUGGAACCAUUUUUGGUAUACACAUAGGAAGUGUUUCUGGAAUGAGAACAGACGUCUAGGCUGGAUACGUACUACUUAUAGCAAAGCUGAAUAACAACCCUUAUGAAAAUUAGUAUCUCUGUUUUUAUAAAGAAAGGCUGGUAAUAGGAAAAGAUAAUUAGUCUUUAAUAAAGAAUACACAUAUUUUAGUAUCCAUCACAACCAACGAUGCAAGAUUUCAGCCCAUCACUUAAAUAAAUAGUUGUUCAGACCAUCAAGGUUACAUUUGCAAUUCAAAACUUCCACAUAAAAUUAAAUGGUCGCAGUAAGGACAGAAACACCUGCAAAGCCUCUGGUUUCCUGCACACAAAUUGACUUCAUGUGAAUGUCUGAAAAUGAGCAUGCACAAAAAGCAGCCCUUGAACGCAUUUGAAAACAUAGGGGAAAAUACUACACCAAAAGGGAGCAAGCACCCCAUCCCUCAUGCCCUCCCAUGCAUGUAUCCAUCUCAGGCGAGGGAGCCAAGUGAGGGGAGAGGGUUCAGGUUUUGGGCUGGUGCUGCUGCACCUUACCCCACUCCUUAGGCUGUGGCCAGCCCCUCCGCAGUGCUCUGCCCUUGCUCCCCACCUCUCUCCCUGCAGGGCUGCAGCAAAGCGCAGUGCAGGCUCCUUCCACCCUCCCUGUGCUCCCUGGGACCCAGAGGGUUCGAUGCAGCCUUGCUGCACACAUCAGGGUCUGUGCCUGCCUGUGCAGGGUGUGGGGUGUCCAAGGGUGUGCAGGGUGUAGGGACAGUCCAGGAUGCCCCUCAGUCAAUCACCAGGGCUUUCUUCUGCUCCACUUCAUGAACAGUUUGUUGUGUUUUUUUUUAAGCAAGCGUUAACUCCCUCCGCAGCUAAUAGUGCAUUUGCACCAGUGUACCACUGUGAAGCAGCCAGGCUGCUCGUACACAGCAAGAGGAACAGAGGUAACGGGAACUGCACAGAGAGGCAAGAAAAUUACCCAAAAAGCAGCAAGCUGCCAGCCCGAGUAACUACACUGCCUCCUGCUGCCACCACUUACCAUCUGGGUGAACCCAAGAGCCUCUCACCUUUUACAGACUAGCUAAGAGAGAACCUCAGGGUGCCAUAACCCUACUAGAUGAAUGGAUGUACUCUGGAAAGCAGAGUUCCUCUCUGCACCUUCUGUCCUAAUUGUUUGUUUUCUUCUCUGUUUGCUUUGUUGUUUGGUAAACCAGCACUUACAAUCACUUUUACUAUGUGAUGUAUGGGAGUAGAAUAGUAUAUUUUCUUGUUAUACAAGGGAGGAGUAUAAAAUAGUUUUCUGAUUUCUUUCAGAAGCAAAUGACUAUUUUAUUUUUUAAGAGCAACUGAUUGUGAAUCUCAGAGUAUAAAAAAGAGAAAUAAGCCAAAUAUAUACCUUUAUGUAAAUUAAGAAAUAAAAGUAUUUAAAACAUA